GAGAACCGGCUGCCACAUCCAAGGAAGGCAGCAGGCGUGCGAAUUACCCACUCCCGACCCGGGGAGGUAGUGAUGAAAAGUAACAAUACAGGACUCUUUCGAGGCCCUGUAAUUGGAAUGAGCGCACUUUGAAUCCUUGAGUGAGGAUCCAUUGGAGGGGAAGUCUGGUGCCAGCAGCCGCAGUAAUUCCAUCUCCAAUAGCAUAUCUUAAAGUUGCUGCAGUUAAGAAGCUCGUAGUUGGAUCUUGGCGGUGAUGACCCAUUCGAAUGUCUGCCCUGUCAACUUUCGAUGGUACUUUAAUGCAGCCUCCAACACAUGUGACAAGCCCGUUUGAGUUGUUCUUCCCUGUCUGUGUUGGUAUUAUCUAUAAGAAUGACCAUACUGGAUAGCAUUUUUACACUGCUCCAAGAACUCUUAACUCCAAAACCUUGCCUCAGAGAAAAAGACUAGAAACUAGAAUGGUGUAUAUAUGGCAUCGUGUCUUUCAAAUGAGGGGGUUCACGUGUAACCCUGUCUGAAUAGGGCCUUCUUUUUAAACACUGGAAUAUGAGAUUUCAUAUCUAAUAUGAAAUACGUAUCACUAUUAUGAUCAGAU
rnacentral:ncRNA from 1 species